GGGUGAUGGGAUGAGAGAGGGUAGAGGGUGGUGGAGGGGUGAUGGGAUGAGAGAGGGUAGAGGUGUGGAGGGGGGUGAUGGGAUGAGAGAGGGUAGAGGUGUGUGGAGGGGUGAUGGGGUGAGAGAGGGUAGAGGUGUGUGGAGGGGUGAUGGGAUGAGAGAGGGUAGAGGUUUGUGGAGGGGUGAUGGGGUGAGAGAGGGUAGAGGUGUGUGGAGGGGUGAUGGGAUGAGAGAGCGUAGAGGUGUGUGGAGGGGUGAUGGGAUGAGAGAGGGUAGAGGUGUGUGUAGGGGUGAUGGGAUGAGAGAGGGUAGAGGUGUAUGG
ensembl:lncRNA